GUCAUAGACGCGAAACCUAGUGAUCUAGGCCUGUCCAGGCUGAAGCUGAGGUAAGACUCAGUGGAGGGCCGAACUCACCGCCGUUGAAAAGUUGGGAGAUGAGAUAGGUCUAGGGGUGAAAAGCCAAUCGAACUAGGAGAUAGCUCGUUCUCUCCGAAAUGCAUUUAGGUGCAGCCUUGAACUGAGAUAUGUGGGGGUAGAGCUCUGUAUGAUCUAGGGGGCGUACUGCUUACCGAAAUCAAGCAAACUGCGAAUACCAUAUAUCAUGUUCAGGAGUGAGUCCGUGGAUGACAAGGUCCUCGGACGAGAGGGGAACAGCCCAGACCGCCAGCUAAGGUCCCUAAUUAUGUCUAAGUGGGAAAGGAGGUGGACAUUCAUAGACAACCAGGAGGUUGGCUUAGAAGCAGCCAUGCCUUGAAAGAGUGCGUAAUAGCUCACUGGUCGAGAGUGCCUGCGCCGAAGAUGUAACGGGGCUAAGACAUAAACCGAAGCUGCGGAAGAUACACUGUAUCUUGGUAGGAGAGCGUUCUGUAGGCCGUCGAAGGGAUGCCGCAAGGCCGUCCUGGAGGUAUCAGAAGCGAGAAUGCAGGAAUGAGUAGCGAGAAGGCGGGCGAGAAUCCCGCCGGCCGGAAGUCCAAGGUUUCCAGGGGAAGGCUUGUCCGCCCUGGGGAAGUCGGGACCUAAGCAUAAGCAAAAUUGUGAUGGCGAAUGGAAAACAGGUUAAUAUUCCUGUACCGCUGUUAUCGCUUGAGAGACGGAGUGACGCAGGAAGGUAUGCGAGAAGGCUGACGGUUUAGCCUUUCUAAGGGCCCAGCGUGGGCGUGCAGGUAAAUCCGCACGCCUAAACGUGAGACCUGACGGGGAAGUGCAUUUGCAUAAGUCGCAGAUCCUACACUGCCAAGAAAAACUUCUAUCGAUGAGAAGCAGCGCCCGUACUGUAAACCGACACAGGUGGACAGAGUGAGAAACUUAAGGCCGACAGGAUAACUCUAGCUAAGGAACUCUGCAAAAUAGCCCCGUAACUUCGGGAGAAGGGGUGCCUGACAUACCUGAAGGAGAGAAGCGCUCCCAGGGGAAACAGGCCGCAGUGAAGAGUCUCAAGCAACUGUUUACCAAAAACACAGGUCUAUGCUAAGCUGAAAGGCGACGUAUAUGGGCUGACACCUGCCCAGUGCCGGAAGGUUAAGAGGAGGAGUGAGAGCUCCGAUUUGAAGCCCCGGUGAACGGCGGCCGUAACUAUAACGGUCCUAAGGUAGCGAAAUUCCUUGUCGGGUAAG
rnacentral:rRNA from 1 species